CACAGUUUCUCCAUCCAUUCUUCAGCUGAGAGCCAUCUAAGCUGAUUCCAGGUUCUUCCUAUUACAAAUAAUGCUGCUAUGAACAUGGUUAAACAGACGUUGGAUUCAGUUUUUCCUGGUGUGAAAGAGACUGCUAGCUCUCUCCAGCACCAUAUGGUCACACUCCGUAGCCUCUGGAUCAGUGGUUUUCCUAAUUAUGUGACCCUUCAAUGCAGUUCCUUUUGUUCUGGUGACCCCUGAGAUAAGAAUGUUUGAUCAGAAUUGCUUUGGAAAUUAUACCCAUGGUCUCCUUGUCACCUGAGGAGAAUCAUUCCUGUCUGUAUUGAGUAAAGAUCUGUGCAAGCUCGGCACAUGGUGUGGAAGAGGAAGAAGAGGAUGAACAUGUGAACUGCAGGAAGAGAGCUGGGUCAUCUCCUGCAGACGGGGAAAACUGCAACAAAGAGCUUAAGGACAGACAGGAUGGAGGAUGUGACCUGCAUUUGGACGAGAUUCCCAGCACAAGGAGAGAAGGCCUCACCCAAGAGCUCCUGUGAAGCCAAUCAUUUGCGGACACCAGUGCAGCUCCAAGCAACUCUCCCAAGAGACACAAUGUCUCAUUUAUCCAGUGGUCUUCAGAUUUCUUAGCUGGAUGCCUUCAUUAUCCUGAAAAGACAAAAACAAAACCCUACCUCAACCCUAAAUUUGGGAAAGUUCCCUUAUGGCAAGCAAUAUCUGAAAAAAUGAAAAGCAUUUCUUAGUUUUAAAGUUAGUUUAGAUUAAAUGGCCAUACUCUUUGAUUAGUUAUCAUCUUUUCUAAACAAGGUGUGUCUUUUGUUCAAACCCUAAUCUCUAUCGAUUUUGUGGUAUAUGUCACUUUUCUUCUUCCCAAACCCCCUUCCCCAACAUAACACACAUCCUGGUUCCCAUUCUGAGGUCAGCACAUCUUUAAAAUAUACCAGCUGAUUUAAUUCUAUAGGUUUUUUCUAUUAUCUAAUUUCUCUCCACGAC